rnacentral:misc_RNA from 1 species
CCAAACUUGGUCAUUUAGAGGAAGUAAAAGUCGUAACAAGGUUUCCGUAGGUGAACCUGCGGAAGGAUCAUCAAUGAAUAUUUUUUAAUCAUUGAUUAUGGAAAGAUGAAAAAAAUAGCGAAUAUAAUAAUUUUCUAUUUUUUUCUGUCUUUCCUUUUCAUUUUAAAAACACCGCACAUAUAUAUUAUAAUACUUUUAAAAUAUAUGUGACGUCGUUAUCAAUGAAAAUGGAACUGAUAAAAAAUAGUUCAAAUAUUUUUACAACUUUUAACGAUGGAUCUCUUGGCUCUCGCAUCGAUGAAGAACGCAGC